CAGUCGCCACGGUAAUACGUAGGGUGCAAGCGUUGUCCGGAAUUAUUGGGCGUAAAGAGCUCGUAGGCGGUUUGUCGCGUCUGCUGUGAAAUCCCGAGGCUCAACCUCGGGCUUGCAGUGGGUACGGGCAGACUAGAGUGCGGUAGGGGAGAUUGGAAUUCCUGGUGUAGCGGCGGAAUGCGCAGAUAUCAGGAGGAACACCGAUGGCGAAGGCAGAUCUCUGGGCCGUAACUGACGCUGAGGAGCGAAAGCGUGGGGAGCGAACAGGAUUAGAUACCCCAGUAGUCCCUGUCUCUUAUAC
rnacentral:rRNA from 1 species